CAGCCGCUACGGUAAUACGUAGGGUGCAAGCGUUAAUCGGAAUUACUGGGCGUAAAGCGUGCGCAGGCGGUUAUAUAAGACAGAUGUGAAAUCCCCGGGCUCAACCUGGGAACUGCAUUUGUGACUGUAUAGCUAGAGUACGGCAGAGGGGGAUGGAAUUCCGCGUGUAGCAGUGAAAUGCGUAGAUAUGCGGAGGAACACCGAUGGCGAAGGCAAUCCCCUGGGCCUGUACUGACGCUCAUGCACGAAAGCGUGGGGAGCAAACAGGAUUAGAUACCCCAGUAGUCCCUGUCUCUUAUAC
rnacentral:rRNA from 1 species